UCACAAACCAAUUAAGGAAUAUUGGCUGAUCUCAUUCCAUAACUAGAAAAAAUUGCUCUUGUUCUUUCUUCAUGAAUUACCAAUACCAACACCAAUAAUAAUAAUCUGAUCAGACAAGUCACUCUCGUAAUCAGCAAGUAUUAUAUUAUAUCAUGAUCAACAUAUUUAAAUCAAAGCGUGCUUAAGUCACUCUCAUCAUCAGAAGCAAGCAUUGAUUAUAUAUCAAGGCAUGGAGGACGACGAUUAUAUAAUAGAAAAAGGGCAUCAGAAAGAAUCCAUAGCCGAUCGAGAGAGAGAGAGAGACAUUAUUCUCAGUAAGACUCUCUCAAUCUUUCUCUCUCCCAUUUCUCCUCAUCCCCGAUUGUCUCUUCCAUUUCUCCAAUCAUCCUCGUGGAUUUCUAGCAAUCAUUCUCGCGACUUCUCUAAACCACCUGAAAAGCUUUCGUAUCGUCAACAAAUAGGCAUGUUCUUACUCAGCUGCUUAAAAAUUGUUUCAAUCCAAUUGAAAUAAAGCACUGGUGAUGCCUCGUCGGAAUCAUCACCGUCACCGCCACCAACUUCUGUCCCCCAAACUUUGCUUUGUCCAACGACAACGGUGGCUGGUGUAAUCCUCCGCUCCAGCACUUCGAUUUGGCCGAGCCUGCUCUCCUUCAAAUUGCUCAGUACCGUGCUGGAAUUGUGCCAGUUGUAUUCAGAAGUUUGAAUCCGAAGACACUUACUCUUUCUUACUUUUUGGUGGCAGUGCCUUGCUUACCGUGUGGCUGGCAUCAGCUGUUGUUGGAGCAAUUGAUUCUAUCCCGGUGGUCCCCAAAUUGUUGGUCUUGGCUAUACAGUUUGGUUCGCAUCUCGCUACCUGAUAUUCAAGAAUCAAGCAUUGAUUAUAUAUCAUGGCAUGGAGGACGACGAUUAUAUAAUAGAAGAAGGGCAUCAGAAAGAAUCCAUAGCCGAUCGAGACAGAGAGAGAGAGACAGACAUUAUUCUCAUCCCCACGACAUACACUCUCGAUCAAAUGGAAAAUCGAGGGAGCUUCACAUGGAGAGGGAAUGAAAUCUUACCUGCCGUCAGAUAUGAAGGAUGCUGCUGUAAGUAUACAUAAAUUAAUGUAUUAGUUUUUUUAGUUGGAUUUAGUGCUUUUUUUUUUUUUAUCAUCUUCUUUAGUUCUCUGUUUUACUUUGUAAUAAAAACAAAAGCAUAGUAGGUAACUUGUUUUCACAGAUGGUAAAAUUGAAAUAAAAAAAAAAAAAAAUCUGACUUUGUUAGAGUUGUGUAUAUGUGAUAUAUAUAUAUUUAGAGCUUGCUGUUGGGCUCUUACCGCGGUAACAUGCAUUGAAGCAUCCCACUGUAUCUUGACCGGCGAAACAAUCCAGCUUUCUGCUCAACAUCUAGUAGACUAUUGUCAGGAAAAAAAAGGAUGCGUUGGAUUAGAGGUGAAACGUGCGUUUAACUAUAUAGUUGAAAAUGACAUCACAUCUGAAGUCGAAUACAGUUACACUGGUGUAUUUGAUCCAAAUUUAGUCAUCGGAGAAGAUGGAGAAUCAGUUGCAGAAGCACCAGAGGUAUUUAUUACUUUAUUAUUAUUAUUGUUGUUGUUGUUAUUUAAUUUCACAAAUAUGUUUAUGCAUGAUAGUGAAAUUAUGUUUACAAAAAUCUCAAAGCUUAUGUCGCAUUGAAGUCAGAAAAUGAUAUUAUAGAUGCCCUUCGUGGACGACCUUUGGCAGGCAAAUUAAGAUUUAAAAAAGGUUUUUUGACGAUAAAGGAUGAUGAGGUAAGAUAUCUUAAACUAAUCUCAGUAAUAUUAAUGAUCUAUGAUAAUAAUCUAAUUUUAAAUUAAUCUUAAAGUAUAUUAAUAUUGCAGACAGUUUAUGAUGUUGACCUAGAUGAAAAUGAUUUCAAGAACAACCCUAACAAUACAUCGAUUGUAGACGGCUAUGCCCUUCAUGGUGUGUUAAUAGUUGAAUUUGAUACCGAUGAUGGAGUUGGCUACUAUGAAAUUUUAAAUUGGCGGCCAGGCUGGGGAAACAACGGAUAUGGAAGAGUAAAGAGGAAUUCGUCAACAGUGAAAAUAGCUUAUUCAACUUUAAAACUCUAAGAUUGGAUAGUAAGCUGUUUUCACUGUUGACAAAUCUCUUUACUCUUCCAUAUCCGUUGUUUUCCUAGCCUGGCCACUAAUUUAAAAUUUCAUAGUAGCCAACUCCAUCAUCAUUGGUAUCAAAUCCAACUAUUAACACAUCAUGUAGGACAUAGCCGUCUACAAUCGAUGUAUUGUUAAGGCCGUUCUUGAAAUCAUUUUCAUCUAGGUCAACAUCAUAAACUGUCUGCAAUAUUAAAAUAUUUUAAGAUUAAUUUAAAAUUAGAUUAUUAUCAUAGAUCAUUAAUAUUACUGAGAUUAGUUUAAGAUAUCUUGCCUCAUCGUCAAAAAACCUUCUUUAAAUCUUAAUUUGCCUGCCAAAGGUUGUCCACGAAGGGCAUCUAUAAUAUCAUUUUCUGACUUCAAUGCGACAUAAGCUUUGAGAUUUUUGUAAACAUAAAUCCACUGUCAUGCAUAAACAUAUUUGUGAAAUUAAAUAACAACAACAAUAAUAAAGUAAUAAAUACCUCUGGUGCUUCUGCGACUGAUUCUCCAUCUUCUCCGAUGACUAAAUUUGGAUCAAAUACACCAGUGUAACUGUAUUCGGCUUCAGAUGUGAUGCCAUUUUCAACUAUAUAGUUAAACGCACGUUUUACCUCUAAUCCAACGCAUCCUUUUUUUUCCUGACAAUAAUCUACAAGAUGUUGAGCAGAAAGCUGGAUUGUUUCACCGGUCAAGAUACAGUGGGAUGCUUCAAUGCAUGUUACCGCGGUAAGAGCCCAACAUCAAGCUAUAAAUAUAUAUAUCACAUAUACACAACUUUAACAAAGUCAAAUUUUUUUUUUGGUAUUUUAAUUUUAUCGUCUGUGAAAAUAAGUUACCUACUAUGCUUUUGUUUUUAUUACAAAGCAAAACAGAGAACUAAAGAAAAUGAUAAAAAAAAAAAAAGCACUAAAUCCAACUAAAAAAACUAAUACAUUAAUUUAUGUAUACUUACAGCAGUGUACUUGGCAUCUGACGGCAGGUAAGACUUCAUUCCCUCUCCGUUUGAAGCUCCCUCUCUAAAUUACAAAUGUGAAAAGAAAAAUAUUAACUUGAUAAGAGCUAUAUAUAUAUAAAUAUAUUGAUGGUUGAUUAGAAAAUAACUUUGCUGUAAAAAUACUCACAGCUUCCAUUUGUGAUCAGUCCAAGGCGUACGUAAUACGUAGCAGUUUGGUGGGGAUGGGAAUAUACAGCUUGAUAUUCGAUCUUCUGAUUUUUGUAUAAUCCUCCAUGAUCAUAAUAUAUGCUAGCUUGAGAUGAGAGUGACUUGUAGCGUUUGUAUUGCAGGCCUCGAUUUAAGUAUGAGUUGACAUCAGACAAGACAAAUUCAAUUGUUUUUUGAAUCUUAAUUUCUCUCUCGAGCGAUUGGCUGUGUGGGUUUAGGCAUGAUGUAAUCCUCCAUCAUGAAAUGAUGAUAUCCUUUCUUUGCUUUUGUUAAUGCUUCAACGGUAACAGUAGUAGUGACUUCCCUUCCCUUGAGCUUAAAGGUUUGUUAUACAUAAUUAAAAUGGCUUCUCACAGUGCCAUAGCUAGUCACUGUACACAUACAACCUAUUUUAAACUAAUACAUUAAUUUAUGUAUACUUACAGCAGUGUCCUUGGUAUCUGACGGCAAGUAAGAUAUAUAUGUGUGUGUUUGUCUACAUUUUAACGUUAGUUAAUAAUAGGUAAUUAAUGGUCCCUUUCAAAAAAUAAUAAGUAAUGGUAUUAAAAUAGGUUGCUGCAGGUAUGUGUGUACAGUGACUAGCUGUGGCACUGUCAGAAGCCAUUUUAAUUAUGUAUAACAAACUUUUAAGCCCAAGGGAAGGGAAGUCACUACUACUGUUACCGUUGAAGCAUUAACAAAAGCAAAGAAAGGAUAUCAUCAUUUCAUGAUGGAGGAUUACAUCAUGCCUAAACCCACACAGCCAAUGGCUCGAGAGAGAAAUUAAGAUUCAAAAAACAAUUGAAUUUGUCUUGUCUGAUGUCAACUCAUACGUACCAUAACUAGAAAAAAAUUCUCUCGAUCAACACAGAGAAAUGUAAAUGAUGAUCAACAUAAAUCGAGGCCUGCAAUGCAAACGCUACAAGUCACUCUCAUCUCAAGCUAGCAUAUAUUAUGAUCAUGGAGGAUUAUAUAAAGAUCAGAAGAUCGAGCAUCAAGCUGUAUAUUCCCAUCCCCACCAAACUACUACGUAUUACGUACGCCUUGCACUGAUCACAAAUGGAAGGUGUGAGUAUUUUUACAGCAAAGUUAUUUUCUAAUCAACCAUCAAAAUAUAUAUAUAUAUAUAGCUUUUAUGAAGUUAAUAUUUUCUUUUUCACAUUUGUAAUUUAGAGAGGGAGCUUCACAUGGAGAGGGAAUGAAAUCUUACCUCCAGUCAGAACUCAAAAGGAAUGCUGUGAGUAGUAUAAUAAUUGCAUUUUUAUAAAUGAAUUAUUAUAUUAUUUGAAAUUAUUAAAGGAUGUUGAAAUCCUGUAAGUUUAAGUUUUCUUUUCUAAAAUUGAUCAAGUUCGAUCCCAAUAAUUAGAGUACUAGCUACUUGUAUAAUUAAUUGAUCUCUCCCUAAUUUUGUCCAAAAAAAUUCUGACUUAGUUAGAGUUGUGUACAUGUACUGAUAUAUAGCUUGUAGAUUGUUGUUAUGUUAUUUCUCUUGCCGUUCUAAUUUUGUUUUGGUUAGGAUAGACCAUAGGAUAAUGUUAAAAUCUAUUUAUAUUUAGUGUGAUGAUAUUGUACCUAUACUUUAUGGGUGCCUGGUCAAAAUCACGCAUUUAAAAAAAAAAAAAAUUGCAUUUUAGCAUAGUUUUAAUAAUUAUUAACAAAAUAAUUUAUCAUAAUUUAGAUAGCUAGUCGAAAAUUUAGACAAAUGAUCAAAAAAUUCAAACUACCAGUUGUUAUCCCCAAAAAUUGGAGUUCAAUGACGUGGCAAUCAGAA